GGAGAGGUGGCUGAGUGGUCGAAAGCGGCGGUUUGCUAAACCGUUGUAGGUGUUAAAGCCUACCCCGGGUUCGAAUCCCGGCCUCUCCGCCA
rnacentral:tRNA from 1 species